rnacentral:rRNA from 1 species
UGGGGAAUAUUGCACAAUGGAGGGAACUCUGAUGCAGCGACGCCGCGUGAACGAAGAAGGCUUUCGAGUCGUAAAGUUCUUUUAUAUGGGAAGAUAAUGACGGUACCAUAAGAAAAAGCCCCGGCUAACUACGUGCCAGCAGCCGCGGUAAUACGUAGGGGGCUAGCGUUGUCCGGAAUCACUGGGCGUAAAGGGUUCGCAGGCGGAAAUGCAAGUCAGGUGUAAAAGGCAGUAGCUUAACUACUGGAAGCAUUUGAAACUGCAUAUCUUGAGAAGGGUAGAGGUAAGUGGAAUUUUUGGUGUAGCGGUGAAAUGCGUAGAUAUUAAAAAGAAUACCGGUGGCGAAGGCGACUUACUGGGCUCAUUCUGACGCUGAGGAACGAAAGCGUGGGUAGCAAACAGG